AGUCUCCUGAAGGAACGUUGAAGACGACGACGUUGAUAGGCCGGGUGUGUAAGCGCAGCGAUGCGUUGAGCUAACCGGUACUAAUGAACCGUGAGGCUUAACCUUACAACGCUGAAG
rnacentral:rRNA from 1 species